AUGUCUGCCGAUUGGAGUGGUGAUAACACUACGAUCUUGACCGAGCUCUUUGUCCAACAAGUGUGUGCUGGUAAUAGGCCCGACAAGCACUUGACCCCAAAUGCUUAUGAGGAAGUUGCAAAGGAUUUCAAAAUCAGAAUAGGUUUGGAGUACACCGGGCUCCAACUAAAGAACAAGUGGGAUAAUUUGAAGACUGAUUACAGCAAUUUCAGAAAACUCGAGUUAAAGUAG
rnacentral:rRNA from 1 species